rnacentral:rRNA from 1 species
GACGAACGCUGGCGGCGUGCCUAAUACAUGCAAGUUGAGCGCUGAAGGUUGGUACUUGUCCCAACUGGAUGAGCAGCGAACGGGUGAGUACCGCGUGGGGAAUCUGCCUUUGAGCGGGGGACAACAUUUGGAAACGAAUGCUAAUACCGCAUAAAAACUUUAAACACAAGUUUUAAGUUUGAAAGAUGCAAUUGCAUCACUCAAAGAUGAUCCCGCGUUGUAUUAGCUAGUUGGUGAGGUAAAGGCUCACCAAGGCGAUGAUACAUAGCCGACCUGAGAGGGUGAUCGGCCACAUUGGGACUGAGACACGGCCCAAACUCCUACGGGAGGCAGCAGUAGGGAAUCUUCGGCAAUGGACGAAAGUCUGACCGAGCAACGCCGCGUGAGUGAAGAAGGUGUUCGGAUCGUAAAACUCUGUUGGUAGAGAAGAACGUUGGUGAGAGUGGAAAGCUCAUCAAGUGACGGUAACUACCCAGAAAGGGACGGCUAACUACGUGC